AAUUCACGAAAGUAGGCGGUACGGUGCACGCAGAAAAUAAUGUGUUGAUGUUGUCAAUGUCAAGUCUGUGAUGUUCUUCUUGGAAGUUCAACCAGAAAUGUAAAAAAAAUGAUGGCUACGUCGGGCAAACAGUUGGUGAGGAGUAAAAGUGGGCUUCGUAUGGUGAGUGUUGAGGAGAAAGACACAAGUCCUUUUCAGCUACAAGAACCACCUUGGAUCCCAGACGAACAGUGUCAUUAUUGCAUGAAAUGCCAAGCUAAAUAUGAUCUGGUAAAAAGAAGGCAUCACUGUCGGCGAUGUGGUAAAUGUUUCUGUGGGCCAUGCUGUUCAACAAAGGUUCUCCUUCCUCGAAUGAACUUUGUAGAUCCAGUCAGACUGUGUGAGGAGUGUGCAACCUUCACUAGGAAAGAGAAUGAAUUCUUCAACAAGCACUUAAAGGCACUUAUGAAUGGCUGUAACUUUUCAGUGGAAACCCCGGAAGAGGGACAAACCAGCAGUUACUGCAAGCUGACAUCAAAUCAUAGGAAUAUCUUGUUCAAUGAUGAGAAGCCUGAUAAAGAGAACACAAAGACAACAAUGUGGGUUCAUGAUCCUGUAGCUCUACUCAGUAUCCAAAACCUACAGAUUAUGACUUCAGAAACAAACGUCAAUGGUCAUAUGAUUCCUAAAGCUGUGACCAUUCUAUAUAAGUAUAUUGAUGAGAUGAGAGAGGUUACUAUGACGGUCCCUGAUGAUUCAUCCAGGAAACAAUCCAUUGCUUGGAUUGUCGCAUUACAAAAGGCUUACAAACUUCUGAACGAAGCUAAGAGACGAGAAGAGCUCCCAAGCCCUUAAAAGCACUAACAGUAAUAGACAUUUCAUCCAGGCAUGGCCAUUUUUGUGCAACUCAUCUCCUGCAAGAUUAUCAUCUGUAAAUAUAAACUAUAGUUUAUAUAGCUGAGCAUUGAAAUAAGCAGAGACCAUUUUUAUUUUCUUAUUCACGUUCAUCCUAUGUCAGCUUUAGACACAAACACUUGCAGAAGAAUUAUUGGGAAUGGAUUGUUGGACGGUGUCUCUUCUUUGUGCGUGGAUACAAGACACUGGAAAGCUGCAAUAUGGUGGUGAUAUGGAGAGAGAUGUGACACUAUUUCACUUCUGUGUAACAACAUACUUUUGUGUUUAUGUUUCUGAAUAUUUAAUUCUGAAUGGGAAAGGUGAUAAGAGUACUUCAUACUGGAUAUUGCCACAGCAGGAUAACAAACAAUCAGGCUUUAUUUAAUUCCUGCCUGGCAUCCGACACCUGUAUGUGUGUAUCUCUGAAUGGUGAACCCUUUGUGAAACACUACACAGAGGAUAUUGCAAACAGGUGGGCAUUGGCAGCAGCGGUGUAAGAAAUGAUUGGACACCAUUCUGUUGCUGUCCAGCGUCACACCCCUGUGUUUCUGACUGGUAAAUUCUUUGUGAAACACUGCACAGGGUAUCACAUACAGCUCCACAAUGAUGAUGGCGGUGAGAGAAGUGAUUGGAGACCAUUCUAUUCUUCUCUGGUGUUCUAAUCAGUGCAUUUGUGAGGAAGAACGCUUCUGUUUCUGGUGUAAUGUACAUGUAAAGUGAGAGAAAAUAUUGAACGCUAUAAUGAAGUGUAUUGCCUGUGUGUAUCUCUUUACAGUAGAUGAAAGUUUCAUUCUCCUUUAAAGACCUGUGCAUGAAAAUUGCGAUAAUCAUUGUUUUAUGAUAGACAGGUUUGCUAUUGUUUUGUUCUUUGUUGUGAUGUCAUCUAGGAGUGCUCUAUUGUAGAAAUCGAUUGCAUGGUUGAUUGCCCAUAUUCAUUUACCCAGGCUUUUUUUUCUUAAACCAGGCAAAUCUUGUUAUCAAACAUUCUUACUGUAUGGAUUUUGUAGGAAGAAUGUUGAGGGAUGUAUGUAUUUGUUGUAAAUAAUACGAUUAUGGUCUACUAUUUCCUGCAUGUAACAUCAGUUCUCAGAUAUUUUCAUUGUGAUCAUGAUAUCUUGAAAAUGUUUUUUAUGCCUAAAUUCAGUCACAACUAUUAUUGUGGAGAGUUAUUAUGAUAGUAUAAAACAUAUGCACUGUUCUUGAAAUAUUUAAGAAAAUUCAAAUUAGUUUAUUUAAUUGAACCUGAAUAAUUCCUUAAUUAUACCUUUUGGAAAAAAAAAAAGCAUUUUUCCUGUGAGAUCACGUUAAUAGGCAGUGUAGAUGUCUGUUUGUGAUCUCUUGCAAGAAUCUGAAAGAGGGUUUUUAUGCCUAAACUCAGUCACUACUAUUAUUGUGGAGAGUUAUUAUGAUAGUAUAAAACAUAUGCACUGUCUUGAAAUAUUUAAGAAAAUUCAAAUUAGUUUAUUUAAUUGAACCUGAAUAAUUCCUUAAUUAUACCUUUUGAAAAAAAAAAAAAGCAUUUUUCCUGUGAGAUCACGUUAAUAGGUAUUGUAGAUGUCCGUUUGUCAGUUAUGGAAAUAUAAAUGACUCUACAUGAAAAUAUAAGAAAGUUGUAUAAGAAAGUUGUAUUCAAAAGACAUGAACGAUAUAAAGUCUACAUGAUUAGGAUUGUUUUUAUCCUACUUUUCCCGGAUUAAUCAUAAUUUUCUAAUUGAUAUAAAUAUUGCAAAGUUGGGAAUUAUGUUUGAUUGGAUAAGUAGUAAAAAAUUGCAUAAUGUUUGAACAGCUUGUAAAAUUCAAUUGAAUAUAAACUAAAAAUGCAAAUGCCGAUAAGAUAUUUGUUUGUAUAUUAACCAUUACUAUUGGUUUAUUGUUUAAAGGUUAUAAAUAUGAUUAUGAAAUACCUGUAAAUACAAUUUAUGAUAUAUAUGCUAUAUUCAUUGUGUUCAAAUUCUAAUUAUUUUUGGAAAUAUUUUGAAAAAUAGAGCAUGCUUUAUCACAUUGGAGGAAGAUGGUGCACAAUAAUGCCUUAUUUUUCAGUUUAAUUUUGUUCAAUCGUGGCAAUGUUUAUGUGUGCCUUUCUAGAUACCUAGUAUGAUUUUGUCUGAAUCUUAAAUUUCUAGUUUUUGGUAUUCACCAAUUUAUGUGGCAACAAGACAACUGCUGAAUUUCUAUUUAAGCUGCUAUGCAUUUGUUUUAUAUCCAUAGAAUACCACUUUAUGCAUUAUUUUGUAUUGGCAGUGGUGUAUAUUUACAGAAUAGGGAUUAUUUCACAUUCAUAUUCGGAUUCCUAUAGGUUCAAUAAUGUUCAUGUAGUUACAUUCAAGUCAAGUAACAGAUUGUAAUGGCAGUAUGAAAUAAAUGUUGAUCAUGUAUGGAGAGAUAAUACAUAAGUUGAAGGUUUAUGUGCACUAUUAAUUUCUUUUUCUUUUGUGUCAGACAUUUGAAUUCGAGUACCAUUAUAGUUCAAAUAAUAAUUUUGCUUUCCAAAUUUGAUUAGCGUGUUUGGUCAUAGGAGAAAAGCUCUCCACUACGUUCUGUAGUCCUUUGUAAAAAAUAAAAAACAAUUGGUACACAAAAGACUUUUUGUGUAAGUCUUUUAAAAAUGUGGAGCAAAUUGGGAUGCGAAACAAGGAUGCAGAGUUGUUUCAGAAAGAAUGAAGUGUGGCAUGCUUAGACAUCAAUCUGCACAGUAUAGUAUUCAUCAUGCAUCUAGCAAUUUAAGAGCGACUUUCAGUUACAGUUAAAUCUUUGUGAACACUCAUCUGGUCAUGUUCAAAGUCGUGACAUAGAUAUAUUGUCAUUUUAAUAGGAAUACUUACCAAUAAACCAUUGUAUAAUGUUUAUAUAUAUAUCUUCAGUGUUAUCUUCAAAAUAAAUUCUGUACUCAAAUGCAGAUAAAAUCCAGUACAAUGUCAGAAUGGGCCCCUAACAUAAAGCUAUUUAGCGAUUGUGGGGCUUAUUUCUAGGAUUAAUUACUGUACGUAUACUAUUAUGUAUGAUCAGUCAUAUAAACCAGCCCCAUGAAUAAUCGUUAACCUUAGGCUUUAUAUUACGGGACCAUGGCCUACCUACUUUCUGUCACUAUCAGCUUGCAGUCUAAAACCCAUUAGACAGCCAGAAAUUUGUGGUUUAGCCUAGUGUUGAUAUUCUAAAGGAGCACAAAUUGGUACAGACUUGUCAAUUGUGAAAUCAACUUGUACACCCUUGAAUGAUCAUAUGAUGAAAUUGAUUUUGUUUCUACAUUAUACGUUUUAUUAGUUCAUUAAUUGAAAUUAAUAUCAGAUCAGAUGAACUUAUCAGUAAAUUGUUAAUAUUGUAGUCUCAAAGUUACCCAAUUACGUCUAAUAAUUUGUUGGCUAACCUGUUAAAUUGUGCCAUUUACAUGUAGGCAUCAAACAAUAUUAUUUAUAUUUUAUCUGCACUAUUAUUAGCAAUUAAACUUUCUAAAAUGUAA